CCUACGGGUGGCUGCAGUGGGGAAUAUUGGACAAUGGGGGCAACCCUGAUCCAGCCAUGCCGCGUGUGUGAAGAAGGCCCUCGGGUUGUAAAGCACUUUCAGUGAGGAAGAACGCCUGGUGGUUAAUACCCAUCAGGAAAGACAUCACUCACAGAAGAAGCACCGGCUAACUCCGUGCCAGCAGCCGCGGUAAUACGGAGGGUGCGAGCGUUAAUCGGAAUUACUGGGCGUAAAGCGCGCGUAGGUGGCUUGAUAAGCCGGUUGUGAAAGCCCCGGGCUCAACCUGGGAACGGCAUCCGGAACUGUCAAGCUAGAGUGCAGGAGAGGAAGGUAGAAUUCCCGGUGUAGCGGUGAAAUGCGUAGAGAUUGGGAGGAAUACCAGUGGCGAAGGCGGCCUUCCGGACUGACACUGACACUGAGGUGCGAAAGCGUGGGUAGCAAACAGGAUUAGAUACCCUUGUAGUC
rnacentral:rRNA from 1 species